GUCGGGCUGCAAUUUGAUAAUGGUUUACUAUUUAAAGUUAGACAGCAGCAGCAUUAUCGGGAAGGUCAAAGGAAAACAGAACCUAUCGCCUGCCAUACGUUUAAAGUCUAACAGACUGGAAAGGAAAAUGAGAGUUAUUUGGAGCGAAGAAUGACAUCAACUCUGCAACCCUUCCUUGUUCACUAUGGGGUGGAAGGAUGAAGCGAAUCUGUGAAAUGUACUGGUUGAAAAGAAUCAUGACUAAACAACAUGGAUGCUCAUGUGUGAGAAAUGACAAGCAAAUGAGCUGCCUGACUAAGAGAAGUGGAGCCAUUGUGAGACACAACUUGGGAGAAAGAAAUUGAAAUGCAAAACUGGAGGGAACCUUUCUUAACAACAACAACAAAUUUAAAACCUCUCUAUGGAAAUACAAGAAAUAAAGCUGAAAGUUGUGGUGAAACUCCCAUGGCUCCGUGACAUGCGACAGUCACACAGUGAAUCAGUGGCAGACACUAGAAGAUUAACCUUCGGGAACAGUACAGCACUGGCAGAGAAAUGGAUGAGAUGAUCUAAUAGAUAUUUUCCACCACUAAUAUGAUUCGGCAAUGAUUUCACAUAGAUCUCUACAUUAUCUCAGCCUUUAGAAAUAAAUGUGUUGUCUGAUCUUUCCCCUUCUAA